rnacentral:rRNA from 1 species
UACGUAGGUGGCAAGCGUUGUCCGGAAUUACUGGGUGUAAAGGGCGUGUAGGCGGGACUGCAAGUCAGAUGUGAAAUUCCCAGGCUCAACCUGGGGGCUGCAUCUGAAACUGUGGUUCUUGAGUGCGGGAGAGGAAAGCGGAAUUCCUGGUGUAGCGGUGAAAUGCGUAGAUAUUAGGAGGAACACCAGUGGCGAAGGCGGCUUUCUGGACAGUAACUGACGCUGAUGCGCGAAAGCGUGGGGAGCAAACAGG